AGAGUUUGAUCCUGGCUCAGGACGAACGCUGGCGGCGUGCCUAAUACAUGCAAGUCGAACGAAGCUUUCUUUCACCGAAUGCUUGCAUUCACCGAAAGAAGCUUAGUGGCGAACGGGUGAGUAACACGUAGGCAACCUGCCCAAAAGAGGGGGAUAACACUUGGAAACAGGUGCUAAUACCGCAUAACCAUGAACACCGCAUGAUGUUCAUGUAAAAGACGGCUUUUGCUGUCACUUUUGGAUGGGCCUGCGGCGUAUUAACUUGUUGGUGGGGUAACGGCCUACCAAGGUGAUGAUACGUAGCCGAACUGAGAGGUUGAUCGGCCACAUUGGGACUGAGACACGGCCCAAACUCCUACGGGAGGCAGCAGUAGGGAAUCUUCCACAAUGGACGAAAGUCUGAUGGAGCAACGCCGCGUGAAUGAAGAAGGCCUUCGGGUCGUAAAAUUCUGUUGUCAGAGAAGAACGUGCGUGAGAGUAACUGUUCACGUAUUGACGGUAUCUGACCAGAAAGCCACGGCUAACUACGUGCCAGCAGCCGCGGUAAUACGUAGGUGGCGAGCGUUGUCCGGAUUUAUUGGGCGUAAAGGGAACGCAGGCGGUCUUUUAAGUCUGAUGUGAAAGCCUUCGGCUUAACCGAAGUAGUGCAUUGGAAACUGGAAGACUUGAGUGCAGAAGAGGAGAGUGGAACUCCAUGUGUAGCGGUGAAAUGCGUAGAUAUAUGGAAGAACACCAGUGGCGAAAGCGGCUCUCUGGUCUGUAACUGACGCUGAGGUUCGAAAGCGUGGGUAGCAAACAGGAUUAGAUACCCUGGUAGUCCACGCCGUAAACGAUGAGUGCUAAGUGUUGGAGGGUUUCCGCCCUUCAGUGCUGCAGCUAACGCAUUAAGCACUCCGCCUGGGGAGUACGGUCGCAAGACUGAAACUCAAAGGAAUUGACGGGGGCCCGCACAAGCGGUGGAGCAUGUGGUUUAAUUCGAAGCAACGCGAAGAACCUUACCAGGUCUUGACAU
rnacentral:rRNA from 1 species